AUGUGAUUUAGCACAAGCAAAGAAAUACAAUUUUUCCACAUUAUUCAUAACUUGAAAAGUCACAUAAAACUUACAUUUUCAGAAUCAGCAUACUCCAAAUACAAAAUCGUCAAAAUCAUACAAAUUGGUCCAGUGGUUCAAAAGAUAGAUCGUAGUCCUUUGUGACCACAGGAAGCAUGGCUUUUCUGCCCAAAACCAGUUCCACAGAGUCUUCUGUCCUGGAGAUAAUUAGAAGUAAUCCAAUUAUCUCCAAAGACAGAGGCAAAACUCCAUUGAACACAUGGCAGCAAAAAGACAGUAAAAUACAAUAAAAUACACAAGGUUACAUUUAUGACAUAAAAUACAGACAUGCCCAACAUAUGCCCAGAUAGCUUAGGUCUGAGCGCACAUUAUUACUGAAUGGCGCUCAGAGCACACACAUACAGUUCAAUUGCCAUGGAUCCAAAGUCUUUCCCAUAGUCUUUCAUUAUACGAAUGGGCUCCAUGGCAUAGCUAUCUGGGGUAUCACUGCUCAAACAGGGCAAGCACCAAAUGACCCGGCUUUCUUGUCUUUGCAGGGGAAAAUCAAGCCUUUUAACAUGGGGCCAUAAUCCAAAGGCAACAGGCGAGCAACCAGGCUUCUCCAAUGCAAUGUGGCGAGAUUGCUCUCGUCACAAGAACUUUAAGGGUUACUGCCAAAGAACACCCCAAUAUGUGUUCAGCAACAUCUCCUGAGUACAGUGAUAUCACCCAUGUAUAGGUGUGUCAGGUUCUCUGGUGGCUCAAAGACCUUAUUCAGAGGGUGCGCGUUCUCUCACAUUGAACUUUAGGCAUGGAUUCUCAGUUCCUGUUAUGUGUUACUGACAAAGAACACCCCAAUAUGUGUUCAGCAACAUCUCCUGAGUACAACAGUACAGGUUCUAUGGGUUGUUGCAAACCUACUAGUAGGGCUUUCCCCUUUGCCAUGUUUGCACAUCUGAAAUUUGCCAGAUUGGUUUGCUGGGCCUAUGUUGCCUUUGAGACCGUAUGGCAGCCCAGGAAUGAAAAUGAACCCCAUCAUGGCAAACCAAUUGUAAAUGUAGACAACCCACGGUAUUCAAAAUUGGGU